GAUGAAGAACGUAGCGAAAUGCGAUACUUGGUGUGAAUUGCAGAAUCCCGUGAACCAUCGAGUCUUUGAACGCAAGUUGCGCCCGAAGCCAUUAGGCCGAGGGCACGCCUGCCUGGGCGUCACACGUCGUUGCCCCCCCCAUCUACUCCUUCGGGAUUGCGGGGGGCGGAUGAUGGCCUCCCGUGCGCCUCGCCGCGCGGUUGGCAUAAAUGCCAAGUCCUCGGCGAUGCACGCCACGACAAUCGGUGGUUGCGAAACCUCGGUUGCCCGUCGUGUGCGGUCGUCGCGCAUCGAGGGCUCGAAAAAAUUGCCGGGUUCCGGCUCGGCUUUCAACGCGACCCCAGGUCAGGCGGGGUUACCCGCUGAAUUUAAGCAUAUCAAUAAGCGGAGGG
rnacentral:misc_RNA from 1 species